rnacentral:rRNA from 1 species
UACGAAGGGGGCUAGCGUUGCUCGGAAUUACUGGGCGUAAAGGGCGCGUAGGCGGAUAUUUAAGUUGGGGGUGAAAUCCCGGGGCUCAACCUCGGAAUUGCCUUCAAAACUGGAUAUCUUGAGUUCGGGAGAGGUGAGUGGAACUCCGAGUGUAGAGGUGAAAUUCGUAGAUAUUCGGAAGAACACCAGUGGCGAAGGCGACUCACUGGCCCGAUACUGACGCUGAGGAGCGAAAGCGUGGGGAGCGAACAGG